rnacentral:ncRNA from 1 species
UCAACGGCUUGGAAAAGGAUACGAACAUAGAGUGACGCAAGACCAGAGAGAGGAGCCAUAGGCUGGAAGUUCCUUGUUGACGACUUUAUUGUUUACCACCUUGGAGCCCUGUCUGUGAACAUUUUAUUAGUAAUGGGCAGCGUUUGAUCCGCGUUAAGGAAAAUGAGCCGUAAGGGUAGAACCCUGCGGGAAUUUGGGUGGAACCACGAGUGACAACGCUCGUCCCUUAG